rnacentral:sRNA from 1 species
ACUAUAAAUAUAUGUUUUAACCGCUUAAAAUUGUUUAAAUUCCGAUAAAACGUUCAAUGCGCUAAAUAUUAAAUCUCCGUCCGUUUAGCGCUUUGUUAAACAAAACACUUAGAGCAUCUCCAUUGGAAGUAUUUCAAUGAGAUACCCAACAAAACAAAAAAAAUUUAAAAAAAAAAAGUACGAGAGAGAUGAAAAAAAGUAGAAGAGAAGGAGAGUUAAGUUUUUCGGAGGAGAAACUUUGAGAAACUAUUCUCAUCCAAUUUGGACAGGUGUCAUCAUAUUAUUAGUUUAACUAUUAAAUAAUAAUUAAUAUAUCUGUUUUGAUUAAAAUAUUA